GUUGGGUCAAACCUUGUCUCGGAGGCAUGCAUGCAGCGGCAGCAGCAGCAAAUACUUUGCUAGGAAGUAUUGGGCAUGUCGGCAGCAUGCAGCACCGGCGGCAGCAGUAAAAGAGGAGAGAAGUUACUUCAGUUGCCGUAACUUAGUAGCUAAGCAAAUGCUAGAUGUAAGCAGUGACGUGUCAUAGGAUAUGACGUAUGUGCUUAGAUCAAUUAGAACAGUAGGUCGGUUUGUAAGUGCUAUAUAAAGAGCACCACUCCACCCGGUUGGAGAAGGCCAUUCCAAUUUCAUUACAAGGCAUUUCCUCCUUCUAGUACCACCGUGUGUGCUCCAAGCCUCAAGUGCUGUGUACUAGUACUACUACUACUACGUGUGUGUGUGAUACACUAGUGAGUGUGUGAGUAGUACGUGUGUGUGCUCAUCCACCGGUCAUCUAUCAGUGUACUCGAGUGCUAGCGAGUAGUUCUGGGCUGACAAUUGGUAUCAGAGCCUCUGGUUGUGGUAGCCAUGGCCGGUGGUAAAGGAGUUCAGCAGCGCACCACCUCGGGUGGUUCCCAGGCGCGGCCAUCACAGGACGGCUCCCAGUCGCCGGCUCCGGAGGAGCGGCGAGGGCGCAGCCGCUCCAGGCGCGGCCAUCGCGGUGAGGUCGUGGUUAGGGAGGUCGUGCGCGAGACCGCGGUCAGUGGUAGCGUACCCAUCACCUUCCCGAUGCUCACGCGCUCGAACUACAGCGAGUGGGCGUUGAUCAUGGAGUGCAACCUCCAUGCGGCGAGCCUCUGGGCUCCUAUGGAGGACGACCUGGUCGAGAGAAAGGAGGAAAGGAAAGCGGUGGCGGCACUCAUGCGCGCCACGCCGCCGGAGAUGCACGGCAUGCUCGCAGCGAAGGCAAGCGCCAAGGAGGCGUGGGAAGCCAUCCGUACCCAGCGCCUCGGCAGCAACCGCGUGCGCGAGGCGAACGCGCAGAAGCUGCGGGCGGACUUCGAGAACAUCGCCUUCAAGGAGGGCGAGCUCGUCGACAACUUCGCCAUGCGGAUCUCCAGCCUUGCGUCACAGCUCCGCGCGCUCGGCGACACCAUGGACGACGCGAGAGUCGUGCGGAAAUUUCUCCGCGUCGUUCCACCUCGUUUCGCUCAGGUAGCGGUCUCCAUCGAGACUUUGCUUGACCUGAGCGAGCUCUCCAUCGAGGAGCUGACGGGCCGGUUGCGGGUGGUCGAGGACCGCCUUGAUGACGGCCGCGAGAGCUUCGGCGGCGGACAACUCCUAUUCUCGAAGAAGUGGGAGGCGAGGAAGCGUCAAGGACGUGGUGGCGGUGCCCAGAGCAGCGGAGGCGGCACCGGCAGAGGCGGCGGUCGCACCCAGGGUGGAGCCGGACGAGGUGCCGGCAACGACGACCGAGACAAGUGCCGAUAUUGCAGCAUCAAGGGCCACUGGGCCCGUGAGUGCCGCAAGAGGAUGGCUGACGAGGAUGCCGCAGCCGCGGCGAACCUCGUCGAGGCUGAAGAGGACGAUGGGCCAGCAAUGAUGAUGGCUUGCGUCGAGACCAUGCAGGAGGGCCUAGCGCCUUCGGAGACCAUGGCCCCGACAAGCAUCGAAGCCGUGCAGGAGGGCGCAACACCUCCGGCAACCACGGUGCCGGCAAUCGUUAAGUCCGUGCGGGAGGCACGAAGCUCUUCAACUAAUCCCCUCCCCACAUCGGUAGCGCUCUCCCCGACAACAACGUUCUCGGGAGACUACGAUUGGGAGGAGAUGAAGACCCGGGUGUGGGGGGGGGGACACCCCGGCAACCACGUUCCCUGCGACGCUGGUCAAGCCCGUGCAAGUUGGCAUGGCAAUCGCGGCCCCGACAUCCUCGGGACCCGACAAGCCCAUGCAAGUUGGCACGGCAAAGGCGUACCCGACAUCCUCGGGACCCAAUAAGCCCGUGUCAGGAGGCACGGCAACGACGCAUAUGGUGGGCCAUGUCCCAACCAUGAUGCUGGUGACCAGUGAGACCGUGCAAGAGGCACGACACUCUCAGGUCGGCCAUACCCCGACAACCAGGUUCUCGGGGUUCUGCAAGCCCGUGUGGGCAACACGGCAGUCUUCGACGGGCCUCAACAGCUGGGAGGCCAUGAAGAGAAGGUCAUGGGGCGGCAAGGCCUCGACCGUGACUCUGGCGACCAUCGAGGCUGUGCAGGAGGCGCGGUGCUCUAUGGUCAGCCAUGCAGCAACCCUGACGCGCUCGGGGUCCAUCGAGUCCGUGCAGAAGGCACGACUCACAACUGUCGGAGGAGAUCCGACAAGCAAGUUUGAUGGGAAGAGCACCAAGGACUCCGCUACCCUGAGAGGAGCCACUCCGGUCAGUGUGGCGUCCAGCACAACGACCCCGGGAAGGGAGUUCCCGGGCAGUGCGGUGUCCGGCACAAUGACCCCAGGAAGGGAGUUCCUGGGUAGUGCGAUGUCCGACAAGUCAUCCCCAAGAAGGGAGUUCCUGGGUAGCAUGACGUCCGACACGAUGACCGCGGGAAGGGAGUUCCAUGGCAUUGUGACGUCAGGAACCACACGACAAGAUCGGGAUCAUGGAAACAAGCUCCUUCGACAAGGUUGAGGAGGAGAUUGUUGGGUCAAACCUUGUCUCGGAGGCAUGCAUGCAGCGGCAGCAGCAGCAAAUACUUUGCUAGGAAGUAUUGGGCAUGUCGGCAGCAUGCAGCACCAGCGGCAGCAGUAAAAGAGGAGAGAAGUUACUUCAGUUGCCGUAACUUAGUAGCUAAGCAAAUGCUAGAUGUAAGCAGUGACGUGUCAUAGGAUAUGACGUAUGUGCUUAGAUCAAUUAGAACAGUAGGUCGGUUUGUAAGUGCUAUAUAAAGAGCACCACUCCACCCGGUUGGAGAAGGCCAUUCCAAUUUCAUUACAAGGCAUU
rnacentral:lncRNA from 1 species